rnacentral:lncRNA from 1 species
GCCUUUGUGUAGAUGCUAUCUGAAGCUGUCCAGGUGUGCGGACUGUAGAAUCAGGAGCCUAUGAUUUACAAGGCAACACAACAAACCUCGUAAAAUGCAAUAAUUGCUCACCCUUAAGAGUAACUGAAUGUACUGAUUCAAAAAUCCAGCAGUGCACGUGGAAAAAGAAUCAACUAGAUCUAUAUCCAUCCAGC